rnacentral:rRNA from 1 species
GAUGAACGCUGGCGGCGUGCCUAAUACAUGCAAGUCGAGCGAACAGACGAGGAGCUUGCUCCUCUGACGUUAGCGGCGGACGGGUGAGUAACACGUGGAUAACCUACCUAUAAGACUGGGAUAACUUCGGGAAACCGGAGCUAAUACCGGAUAAUAUAUUGAACCGCAUGGUUCAAUAGUGAAAGACGGUUUUGCUGUCACUUAUAGAUGGAUCCGCGCCGCAUUAGCUAGUUGGUAAGGUAACGGCUUACCAAGGCAACGAUGCGUAGCCGACCUGAGAGGGUGGUCGGCCACACGGGAACUGGGACGCGGACCAGGCGCCUGAGGGAGGCAGCAGAAGGGAAUCUUCCGCAAUGGGCGAAAGCUUGACGGAGCAACGCCGCGUGAGUGAUGAAGGUCUUCGGAUCGUAAAACUCUGUUAUUAGGGAAGAACAAAUGUGUAAGUAACUAUGCACGUCUUGACGGUACCUAAUCAGAAAGCCACGGCUAACUACGUG